CACUGCAGCUUAUGCUGCACUUCAUAAUAAGCUUAACAUUAUUAAUGACACCCAGAAGAAAAUGCGGCCCAUAACCAACAACACGGACUCCGACUUUGCAAUGGACACCACCGAGGUUUUUGUGGGCCUGCUUGUGACCUCCAUCACAGAUGUGAAUGAAAAAGCUCAGAGCAUCUCAACACAAGUAAUUAUUGGACUUGCUUGGUUCACAGAAAUGAAAUGGAACCAAACAGAAUUUUGUGACAUUGACAACUUUGCAACUCGAAAAGAUUUGUUGUGGACACCAGACAUUGUUGUUGUAGACAG